UACGAAGGGGGCUAGCGUUGCUCGGAAUCACUGGGCGUAAAGGGUGCGUAGGCGGGUUUUUAAGUCAGGGGUGAAAUCCUGGAGCUCAACUCCAGAACUGCCUUUGAUGCUGAGAAUCUUGAGUUCGGGAGAGGUGAGUGGAACUGCGAGUGUAGAGGUGAAAUUCGUAGAUAUUCGCAAGAACACCAGUGGCGAAGGCGGCUCACUGGCCCGAUACUGACGCUGAGGCACGAAAGCGUGGGGAGCAAACAGG
rnacentral:rRNA from 1 species